rnacentral:lncRNA from 1 species
UUCUUGUGUCUUGUCUAUAGGAAGGGAGUGUAUCCUGGUGUAUGACAGCAUAUAGUAGAGACCAGUGUCAAUUAGGGCCUGUGAACUGAGACAGGGUGACUGGCUAAGUCCACAACCCAUUAGAAACCCAGAAAUAAUCAAAUCAUGGGAGAGAUUAGUCCAGGGACAAUAAAUAUGGAUUAGGGAAGAAUGUGUUAACUCAGCAGGCCAGGGUUUCUUCAACCCUGCACAUUCAAAGUGAAUGACUGACUUUAUAUGCCUGAGGCCCUGAGUCAUGCUGUAUUUAUCUGAACCAUGUGGUAUCAAUUUAACCAGAUACGUUUAUUCUAAGAUAUGAUUUAUGCUGAAAGCCUGCUUUUGUUCUAGAGGGAUCAUGGAAAGGAAGCUGAAUUUGCUGAGUUUUGCCACGUGGGCAUUGCAUGCCUAUGUGAUUAACCACCAAUAAAAACCUGGGACAUCAAAAAAUAAAUAAGCUGCUUUAAUUGCCAAGAAUUCACAUGUGGUUGUAUGCAGCAUUACUGGGAGAUUGAAGUGUAUCUGCAUGUGAUUCUACUGUGAUGGACACUUGUAAAUUUGUGCCUGGAGUCUCCUGGAAUUUGCCCUGAGAAUCUUUUUCCUUUGUUGAUAAGAAUCUGCAUCCUUUUGUUUUAAUAAACGAUAAACAUGAGUAUAAUUGCUUCUCUGAGUUCUGAGAGUUUUUUAAAUAAAUAAUCAAAGCUGAAAAGCAAUGGAGACCCCCACCAAAACAUCUUUACACAUUUCAAUUUUGUAUUGAAGUAAAUUUUAUUUUCUUUUUUAUACCUCCCGUAU